AUCCACAUAAUAUCCUAGGUAGUACUAUGGAUCCUUGCGCACGACCUCCAUAGGUACGACCUAUACCAGUGCCGUCUCUCCGUCUUUAGUGACGCAGGAUCCAAGGUCUAACCAGGGAGACUGGUCUCCGUAUAGCAGCAUGUACAUUACGCUGCUACUGCUUACCACCGCGUUGUCAAGCGGUGGAUAGGAGCAUCGAAAACACAGCCAGAGCUCUAGCGCUGCAUGUCGGCGCGCAGUGCACCGCCGAUAGCCUGGGCGACUCGCUGCUAGCGCUGGCUAUGAAUUAGCUGGGCGAUAGGGCAUUCAGAGACUCGUUUUCAUGUCGACUGGGGAGGUAAAAACCCUCAUUAAGACCGUGUUUGUCUGGUUUUUAUUGAGGUACAUCGCUACUAUCGCUGUGAGCUACUAGCAACGGUAUAACCUCCAACACUGUGUCAGGUACAUCAACAAAAGUGGACCCGAAGUAAUGCCGGUUUACCUUCGAGGCAAAGUUGAGCUGGAUAACGCAACAAUGUCAACAUACCUAGCAUCAAGCAUUCCAGAUGGCCUUCGUUGUCUCCUUACCUGCUCAAUCUCGCUCAUGACACAACCAUCAAAUUUGUCAGCGCUGUCGUGUUUGAGGAAUCUUCCUUCAGGUGAACCAAAAAUGGGAUGUCCACUUAAGUUCAACUGUGAAGAGAGAUGAAGCAUUUUUCAUGCUAUGGAAUCUUAAAUUCCCUUCCCUUUUUGCAUCACUGAACCAUAGAAAAGCAGCACAUGUAGGCCUGUGAUCCUCUGGAAGGACUAAAUAGUACAUCAAACUUGUUCAGAAAAAGGACAUGUAAAACUACUUAUGGCCUGAGUUACACCAGCUAUGUUGAAACUUUUAGGUUAUGUCACCUUCAAUCCUUCAACAAACAGUCAAAGUGAUAUCUGCCACUCAUUCGAAAAAUCAUUGCCCAACUCGAAGCUUCAAAAGUCCUGGAUAUUAUUUCAAAGUGGUAUCAAAUUUCUUGAUACAGACCUCUCAUUGAACUUUCUCAGACUAUGUAAAUCUACAUACGCAUACUACAAUUAUGUAUAGAGUAUAUCAUGUGACAAGGUAACCCCCCCCCCCCCUGUAUCACUCUAACUUACUUUAUUUCAUUUUCUUUGUCUUUACUUUAUUUGUCUUUCUCUCCCGCCUCCCCCUCUCAUGCCUAAACUGAUGCUUGUGCUAUCUGGUUAAGAUUUACAACCACAUUUUUAAAAAUCUAUUUAAAUUGGUUCUUCUUUUUAGACUUGUGAAUCAGCCAGAUAAUAUACUUUUCAACUGUAUACUUUCUCCAUUUAAUCUCUCUCUAUUCUAUUCAGAUCUCUGUUCCCAUUUUCACCUUUGAUUUAAGAUUAAGCCUUAUUAAUGAUUUAUGCAUACAGUUUAAGCCAUUUCCCCAUGUUAUAGCUAUUUAUAAUUACAUUGUGUGUUAUUGUUCUUUCCCUAUUUCUCUCAUGUUUCUUUCACCCUUAGUGUCCCCAUCUCUCUCCUCCACCCCCUCCCCCGUCUCUUGCACACAUACAUCCUCUUGUCAUUCUUGUAUCCUCUUUCAUCUGUUUUAUUUCAAUUCAAUAUAAACUCUAUUCUAAGGCCUUACAUUCUUUGAUGACAAAACCUACCCAUAAUUUGAUGGGCAAUUAUGUUGAUGAUAGUUUGCAUUUUUGCUUAUCAGUUUUACAAGCUUUAUUGUAAAGCUUUGUUGUUUGGUUAUUUGCACUGUCUUCUAUAGAAGGUGUUUAAAUUAUUGUUCAUAUUAAACUGUAUUUGUAAUAAUUUAUAUUCUGGGAUUUCUGGCUUACAUGUACUGUAAAUGCACAGACAAACGUGCACAUAGAGCAUUACAGUUACUAAUUAAUUUAUGCAAUCCUGUAACUCUAGUAAUUACUCCAUACAUGUAUCAACAACUGUAUACUUCAAAAUCAAGAUCUUAUCCCAUGAUCUUACUUUUAAGAAAAUGAAUCAGUAGUGCCAGUAUAUUAGAUUGGUCCAGUCAUUGAGAGGGCACUGGUGUCUUAUCCCCUUCUCUUUCUUUAUAGAUUUUUCCCCAUUUGAUGGGAGGAGAACACAGAUCUCCUCCAUGAAGAAAGUGCAUGCCAUUUAAAUUGUGUAAUUGAUAUAGAAAAGUGUAAUUAUAUUCAGCUUGUGCAAUGACGUACAUGCAAUUGUGCUCCUUGUCUUGGACUUGUAAAAGUGGAUUUGGAUGUAGGGCUAAACAAUAUUUAUAAUUUUCGGCUUUACGUAUGAUCUCGAGUUUUCAUCUGAUAACUGGUGAAUUCGGGGAGAUCGCUUAGGUGUGUAUCUCUAGAAUCUUAUUUUAUUUCUUAAUAUUUCAUAAUGUAUAUUGCAUCAUGUAAUAACUUGUCAUUAACCUGAUGUUGAUUUUGAUAUAUUGACUAUUUUGUAACACACUGGACAUCGAUUUGGGGGAUAAUAGACUUUACCUUUUAUGUUUUUAAGUAGUUGUGUUUGCAUGUUAUAACCCUCUGAUUUCAUCGAAUUUCAUUGAAAGAGAGGUAUCCUUGAAGUAGUUUAUAAGUUACAGUUCUUUAAGAAUACUUGCUGCAUAAUUUGAUAAUCCAUUAGUGUAUGCAUCAUUGAAUCACCCAAGAUUUCAAUAUGGUGGAGAGAUGAAAAGUCUCUUGUAGUUUUGUUUUACAUCAAGUAGCAUUUUUAAACAGAGUACUGGUAAGAUAGCUCCUAAUGCUUGGCUAUAGUUCGCCCAGUAAAAUUGAUGUCUGCAUUUAGGUGCUGUGUUUUGAUAUAAUUUAAGUAUGUGCCGGAGAAGUAAAUCAUGUAAAAAGCUAUAAGAAA
rnacentral:lncRNA from 1 species